CGCGUGGUGUCCGGCGUAAGCAGACCGGAUAGCGACGCGGCCUUACGAUGAGGU
rnacentral:ncRNA from 1 species